GUGCUUGCUUCAGCAGCACAUAUAUGAAAAUUAGAACAAUACAGAGAAAAUUAACAUGGUCCCUGAGCAAGGAUGACAGGUAAAUUCAUGAAGCAUUCCAUAUUUAA
rnacentral:snRNA from 1 species